CACCAAUUACUUCUAGUGGCUGAGCAGUGAAAUCUUCCAUCACAUGGCAUUUUGCCUACUUGUUUGACAGCACCUUGCCUCAGAUAGAUGUUCUCACUGUAAAUAACAGUCUCAAUACAAUUCUAGGUUAGAAGCCUAGAUGUGUGACUGGAGAUGCCUCCUGUCCAUUCAAUCUGACUCCAAUGUGGUUCUGCAGCACUGGACAAAGAUGGGAGAUUGAAACAGGAGCCCCUGAGAUGGGGGAACAGAGCCAGGGAGCAGGGGUUGGACAGAACCCAGGUUUGAGAAAACAACCUUGUGAACCUUCUAUUGGAGCAGCAAUAAAGAUCUGAGCUAAGUGUCGAGGGAGGCUGAGGAGGUGGUCACUAAGUCUGUCUUAGGCAUCCCAGGGUCUCCUCAGAGUCCAAGCCUGAAGUCCACUGCAGGGGUCACCAGCCACCUGUGGCCACAUUGGAAUGUGGCCAUUCUGAAUUGAGGUAAGUAAAAAACAUACACCAAAUUUCAAAGAUGUAAUAUGGGAAAAAAAGAAUGUAAGGUACUUGGUUAAUGAUUUUUUAUACGGAUUACAUACGGAAAUGCUACCAUUUUGGCUAUAUUGGGUAAGAUAUAUUAUUAAAAUUGAUGUCACCUGUUCCCUUUUACUUUUUUA
rnacentral:lncRNA from 1 species